GCCGGCUUAGCUCAGUUGGUAGAGCGCGUGAUUUGUAAUCACGAGGUCGCAGGUUCGACCCCUGCAGCCGGCACCA
rnacentral:tRNA from 1 species